AAGUCGUAACAAGGUUUCCGUAGGUGAACCUGCGGAAGGAUCAUUAACACGUAUCCAAACGUAAAAAACCCCCCCGUGAACAUUCAAUCCUGCUCUUGUAACCCGCGUAGUUCGCAAUCUCUGGUAAAUCAUAGCCCGGAAAGUAGUUUUGAUUCAGAGACCUCUGUAAUACAUUGGGUAAAAAACCGAACAACUGUUAACAAUGGAUAUCUUGGUUCUC
rnacentral:misc_RNA from 1 species